AUACUAUAUAUAUAUGUUAAUAUCAUUUAUAUUUAUUUAUAUACCAUAUCAAAUAGAAAAGGGAAAUUGCCAAAAAUACAAUUUUCAAAAUACCACUUUUCAUGUUUACACUUAUUAAUUUUACACUCAUCUUUAAUGAAUGAGAAAAGACAUUUAUAACCUUUGAAUUAACUUAGACAAAAAAAACAUAAGAUUAAUCUAAACUUAAAACAUCACUUCUAAACCCUAAAUCAUCAACUCUAAACCCUAAACAACGAAACAUUCAAAUCUAAACCCUAAAACAUCAAAUGUAAACCCUAAACUCUAAAUAAUCAACUCUAAACCCUAAACUAUAAAACAUCAACUCUAAACCCUAAACCCCGAAACAUCAACUCUAAACCCUAAACUCUAAACCUUCAAAUCUAAACCCUAAAACAUAAACUCUAAACCCUAAACGUGAACCCU
rnacentral:lncRNA from 1 species